rnacentral:tRNA from 1 species
GGGGGUAUAAGCUCAACGGUAAACUGUCGGUCUCCAAAACCGAUCUUCUCCGUUCGAAUCGGAGUACCCCCG